AAGGCUUUUUGUCCCUCGGCGGACACCGUUUCCUAGCCAAGCAAUGUCUGCGCUCUCGCUGAUAUCUUAGCGUGCGGAGUUCUGCCCUUUCUCCGACGCUUGGCAUGGCGAGCCGAAGGGCCCGGCAGCGCCUCAAGGGCGGCGGCGGCGGGGACACGGGCCCGGCGGCGGAGAAGCUGCGGGAGCUGCUGGGCAGCCGGGAGGCGGGCAGCGCGGAACAGCGGCCAGAGUCUGGAAAUAAAGCUGGGCAAGUCUGGGCUCCUGAAGGAUCCACUGCUUUCAAGUGUCUGCUCUCAGCAAGAUUGUGUGCCGCUCUCCUCAGCAACAUCUCUGACUGCGAUGAAACAUUCAACUACUGGGAGCCAACACACUACCUCAUCUAUGGGAAGGGAUUUCAGACGUGGGAGUAUUCCCCAGUGUACGCCAUUCGCUCGUAUGCUUACCUGUUGCUGCAUGCCUGGCCAGCUGCAUUUCAUGCACGGAUUCUGCAGACUAAUAAGAUUCUUGUCUUCUACUUUUUGAGAUGUCUCCUGGCUUUUGUGAGCUGUAUUUGUGAACUUUACUUUUAUAAGGCUGUGUGCAAGAAAUUUGGGCUGCAUGUGAGUCGAAUGAUGCUGGCCUUCUUGGUGCUCAGCACCGGCAUGUUUUGUUCAUCCUCCGCAUUCCUUCCUAGCAGCUUCUGCAUGUACACUACAUUGAUCGCCAUGACCGGAUGGUAUAUGGACAAGACACCCAUUGCUGUGCUGGGAGUAGCAGCCGGGGCUAUUGUAGGGUGGCCAUUUAGUGCAGCCCUUGGUUUACCCAUCGCCUUUGACUCGCUGGCCCUGAAACACAGGUGGAAGAGUUUCCUUCACUGGUCGCUGGUGGCGCUAGUUCUCUUCCUGGUGCCUGUGGUGGUCAUUGACAGCUACUAUUAUGGGAAGUUGGUGGUUGCUCCUCUCAACAUUGUCCUGUAUAAUGUGUUCACUUCUCAUGGACCUGAUCUUUAUGGUACAGAACCAUGGUAUUUCUACUUAAUCAAUGGAUUUCUGAAUUUCAACAUUGCUUUUGCAUUGGCUCUUCUGGUCUUGCCACUGACUUUCCUUAUGGAGUACCUGCUGCAGAGGUUCCAUGUUCAGAAUUUAGGACAUCCAUAUUGGCUUACUUUGGCACCAAUGUAUAUUUGGUUUCUAAUUUUCUUCAUCCAACCUCACAAAGAGGAACGAUUUCUUUUCCCAGUAUAUCCACUUAUAUGUCUUUGUGGCGCUGUUGCUCUUUCUGCACUUCAGAAAUGUUACCACUUUAUGUUUCAACGAUAUCGCCUGGAACAUUACACUGUGACGUCCAGCUGGCUUGCAUUAGGAACAGUCUUCCUGUUUGGGCUCUUGUCAUUCUCUCGCUCUGUGGCUCUGUUCAGAGGAUAUCAUGGGCCCCUUGAUCUGUAUCCAGAAUUUUACCGAAUUGCCACAGACCCAGCCAUCCACACUGUCCCAGAAGGCAGGCCUGUGAAUGUUUGUGUGGGAAAAGAAUGGUAUCGAUUUCCCAGUAGCUUCCUUCUGCCUGAUAACUGGCAACUUCAGUUCAUUCCAUCAGAGUUCAGAGGUCAGCUACCAAAGCCUUUUGCAGAGGGACCACUGGCCACUCGGAUUGUUCCUGCACACAUGAAUGACCAGAACCGAGAGGAGCCCUCCAGAUAUAUUGACAUCAGCAAAUGCCAUUACUUAGUGGACUUGGAUACCAUGAGAGAGACACCCUGGGAGCCAAACUAUUCAUCCAACAAAGAAGAGUGGAUCAGCCUGGCCCAUAGACCAUUCCUGGAUGCAUCUAGUUUUGUCCAUGUGUACUGAGAAAUUUAAGAGUACUCUCUUCUUGAGGCCUCGGAAUGCAAAGUACAUUCUAUUAUUAUCGUAAUGAAAGGUCCUGAGUAGUACAGGUCUUCAAAGCUAUUUCGGGCAUUCUAUGUCCCCUUCCUGUCGGAUCAGUAUACGGUGUAUGUGAACUACACCAUCCUUAAGCCUCGAAAAGCAAAGCAAAGCAGGAAGAAAAGUGGAGGUUAGCAACAGCCCCGUGGCUCCAGCGGACAGCCAUCACGUUAACUAGUGGUUCCACUGAGCUGUAACGCUCGUAAUAAAGGUCACCUGACAAGAAUGCCAGAUUCCGGGUGCUCUGAACUCAUCACGUCUGGCACAGUCACACACUUCCUGCCCCUGUGUGUUCUGCAUGUGAGCUUUCUGCAGAUAGGCAGAACCCCGAGCGCCUGGGGAGAUGCAUUGCUCCACUUGUCAAUUGUUUUCUCUCUUCAAUUAUUUUCUAGAGUGGAGGAGAGCAGAAGCCUCUCCCAGAAGAACCGAGAGCCCUUGACUGGGUGUGUGUGCUAGCAGUUCUGCACGCUCUGGCCUGGCGUCUGGGAACUAGCAAGCCUUCUUUAGGGUACCUGGUUUCUCCACCAAAGCUGUUUGGCAGCUCCUAGCAGACCUUGUUCAAAUCCGAGUGCUGAAAAGCACAGCCUAGUUGCCAAGUGACAUGUCCUUUCACCUCCAGCAAGACGCAUUCGCAGGACUACAACCUUGGCCUGGGAGCUCAGGAAAAAGGCGACCACUGAAGAACUGUGACCUAAUCUUAUUAUUUAUGAUGCCUCUAAUUUUCAUUUUAUUUUCUUUAAAAUCAAUAAUAAUCAUAUGGCUAUUUGUGAAGGUUUUAAGAUUCUAAAAAAAGUUUCAGCAUGGUAUAUCUUGAA